rnacentral:rRNA from 1 species
GAAAUCGAGUAGGACGGAGCACGAGAAACUUUGUCUGAAUAUGGGGGGACCAUCCUCCAAGGCUAAAUACUACUGACUGACCGAUAGUGAACUAGUACCGUGAGGGAAAGGCGAAAAGAACCCCGGAGAGGGGAGUGAAAUAGAUCCUGAAACCGUAUGCGUACAAGCAGUGGGAGCCCACUUUGUUGGGUGACUGCGUACCUUUUGUAUAAUGGGUCAGCGACUUAUUUUCAGUGGCGAGCUUAACCGAAUAGGGGAGGCGUAGCGAAAGCGAGUCUUAAUAGGGCGUCUAGUCGCUGGGAAUAGACCCGAAACCGGGCGAUCUAUCCAUGGGCAGGUUGAAGGUUGGGUAACACUAACUGGAGGACCGAACCGACUACCGUUGAAAAGUUAGCGGAUGACC